AAACAUUGCGGCUCUCUUUCUCAGCAACAUGGGGGCUCAGUCAUGGAUAAUUAUGGUAGUGAUAUCAGCAACUUUCAUGCAAAUAUGCAGAGCUGUAGAUGAUAAACUCCUGAGUUUGCGAGGGCAACCAAGAGUCAGUUUCCAGCAAUACGCAGGAUAUGUAACUGUUGAUGAAAAUCAAGACAGAGCUCUUUUCUAUUACUUUGUCGAAGCAGAAUCAGACCCAGCUUCAAAGCCUCUUGUGCUCUGGCUAAAUGGGGGUACUAAUUUUCUUUUAUCUAGUAUUUUUCUGGUCAUCAUUUUCUGUGUUUUAUUUAUAAUAUUGUUUAAACGCUGUUGUAUUGUUAUGUUCCUUUUGCAGGGCCUGGCUGUUCCUCUGUUUAAACAUUACUAAGAUAUAAAGCUGGUUCAUGUACCUGUAUACUAGGACCCGGACGCCUGAAUUGACCAAUGAGCCCACGACAUCAAUUGUAGGUAUCUCUAGGUUUCGAAGAUCAUAGUUUACAACACUAAAAUGGAGUAAUAAAUCAAAACAAGUUAUUCUCAUCAUGUACAGAAAAACACAUAAUGGUAAAGCACGAUAAUUAAAUGCUCCAAGUCAAAGUGUUGGAAUCAAUCACUAAUUACCCACUGCAAAAAGUCCAUUUCGGAGUUCCGACAAGCUUAUUCUUGCGACUGAUAGAUGAUAUUUUUCAAACGCCUAUAUUCUCCUUUUUCCUUACCUGAUGCAAGCAUGUCAGCUAGAACAAGCUACAGAUAUACACGAAGAAGAAGGUAAAUGGGGAAGGCUUCUUCUCAAUGAUGCUCAGAUGAAAGCGAUGAGUGAGAUCAACGAGCUACAUCCCCCUACUUUCAGUUUGAGUGACUUCUGUAUUGAACUCACUCAGCAGGGAUAUAUAGAAUCUAAGGGAAUCCCUCAAUUUGUUGCUUCUUUAAUAAGAAAGUCAGAUAUCAAGAUCAAGCUUUGAUUUACCGUUGUUUCCUUUGAUGAUUUCAUGGCUGAUCAAGUAUAUGCUGUCGCAUGAAUACUGGGGUCUUCACCUCUCUCCCCCCCAAAACGUUUUUUCCGAGGAUGGCAUUUUGUCUCUUGGCAAGCUUAUGAAAUGCGUAAGUUGAUUCACCUGGCCGUUUUUCCUUGUUAUGUUUGCGAUGUCAUAUAUUUGACUUUGUGUAAGAGUGACUUUUCCCUUGAAACUUGGACAAUGUUUCGAUGGUUACCACGAUAGAAAUAGAAAUGAAGUUGCAAAGUUGUCUUUAUUAAAUAAUAUUUAUGCAAUUUUAUUUAUUAAAAAUAAAAUAAUAUUUUUAGUUUAACCUAUAUAUUCUUUAUUUAUAUUUAGAUUAAAUCUAUAAAUUCAUAAUAUACAGAUUAUUAAGAAUUCUAGCUUUUUUUGAAAAGUCACUUAAUUAAAUCUAUAUAAUUGAUGGAAUUGUUAGCAUAAUUGGUGGAGUUGUUGGCAUAACUUGUGGUAUAAUUGGUGUCAUGAUUUAUAGUAUUUGUCCUCUCACUCUUGCCUAUAAAUAAGCAAUGCUUCCAAGCUUAUUUUAUACACCAAGAUAGAGAGAACAUGAGAAGAGUGAAGAGAGACUAAUCCCACAAAGUUGUGAGGUGUGAGAAAGUAAGUGAGGUGUUUUCUCCUAGUAAUAGAGAGAUUAUUAGUUGUUCUCCUAUUAUUUGAGAGAGGUUGUAAUUCUCACAUUACUUAUUAAAAUCCUUCUAUACUUGCUCAUAGACGUAGCCUAAUUGGGUGAACCACGUAAAUUUUUAUGUCUCAUUUUCAUUUUAGCCUUUUAUCUUGUCGAGUUUGCAUGCCAGUAUCCUAACAUUUUUUGUGUUUGAUCUUAAUUAUUUCAAUAGUCUUAACUGUAAAUUGCUAUAUAAAUAACACAAUUGAGGCUUGAUUUGAAGCAUUGUAGCUCUCUAUAGUGUGUGUUUGUAUUAGAGGUAAAGAUUGAUGUUUGGGUGUGGAACCCACUAAAAAAACUAUAAAAAACAAGAAAAAUUAGUUUUUUGUGGUUGAGUUUUUGUAUAUAAAUAAAUUGUACCUAACCACAACCUCAAACACAAAAGCUAAAACAAACACAUCUAUAUCUCUCCCUGCCAAAAGCAUGGGAGCUCAUCAAUGGAUAGCUAUGGCAGUAUUAUGUGCAACCUUCUUUCAGAUAUGCAGAGCUGUACACUCCUCUGCAGAUGAUAAACUCCUGAGUUUGCCAGGGCAACCAAGAGUCAGUUUCCAGCAAUAUGCAGGAUAUGUAACCGUAGACGAAAAUCAAGACAGAGCUCUUUUCUAUUACUUUGUCGAAGC
rnacentral:lncRNA from 1 species